rnacentral:rRNA from 1 species
GAUAGGCGGGAGCCAUUGAAACCGGAGCGCUAGCUUCGGUGGAGGCGCUGGUGGGAUACCGCCCUGACUGUAUUGAAAUUCUAACCUACGGGUCUUAUCGACCCGGGAGACAGUGUCAGGUGGGCAGUUUGACUGGGGCGGUCGCCUCCUAAAGUGUAACGGAGGCGCCCAAAGGUUCCCUCAGAAUGGUUGGAAAUCAUUCGUAGAGUGCAAAGGCAUAAGGGAGCUUGACUGCGAGACCUACAAGUCGAGCAGGGACGAAAGUCGGGCUUAGUGAUCCGGUGGUUCCGCAUGGAAGGGCCAUCGCUCAACGGAUAAAAGCUACCCCGGGGAUAACAGGCUUAUCUCCCCCAAGAGUCCACAUCGACGGGGAGGUUUGGCACCUCGAUGUCGGCUCAUCGCAUCCUGGGGCUGUAGUCGGUCCCAAGGGUUGGGCUGUUCGCCCAUUAAAGCGGUACGCGAGCUGGGUUCAGAACGUCGUGAGACAGUUCGGUCCCUAUCCGUCGUGGGCGUAGGAAAUUUGAGAGGAGCUGUCCUUAGUACGAGAGGACCGGGAUGGACGCACCGCUGGUGUACCAGUUGUUCUGCCAAGGGCAUAGCUGGGUAGCUAUGUGCGGAAGGGAUAAGUGCUGAAAGCAUCUAAGCAUGAAGCCCCCCUCAAGAUGAGAUUUCCCAUAGCGUAAGCUAGUAAGAUCCCUGAAAGAUGAUCAGGUUGAUAGGUUCGAGGUGGAAGCAUGGUGACAUGUGGAGCUGACGAAUACUAAUAGAUCGAGGACUUAACCAUAUAA